rnacentral:rRNA from 1 species
AUUGAACGCUGGCGGCAUGCCUUACACAUGCAAGUCGAACGGCAGCGCGGACUUCGGUCUGGCGGCGAGUGGCGAACGGGUGAGUAAUACAUCGGAACAUGUCCAGUAGUGGGGGAUAGCCCGGCGAAAGCCGGAUUAAUACCGCAUACGAUCUUUGGAUGAAAGCGGGGGAUCGCAAGACCUCGCGCUAUUGGGGUGGCCGAUGGCGGAUUAGGUAGUUGGUGGGGUAAAGGCCUACCAAGCCGACGAUCCGUAGCUGGUCUGAGAGGACGACCAGCCACACUGGGACUGAGACACGGCCCAGACUCCUACGGGAGGCAG